UGCAUCGGCCGGGAAUCGAACCCGGGCCGGCCGCGUGGCAAGCAAGCAUUCUAACACUGCACCACCGAUGG
rnacentral:tRNA from 1 species